rnacentral:rRNA from 1 species
UACAGAGGGUGCGAGCGUUGUUCGGAAUUAUUGGGCGUAAAGGGCGCGUAGGCGGUGCGGUAAGUCACCUGUGAAAUCUCCUGGCUCAACUGGGAGCUUGCAGGCGAAACUGCCGUGCUGGAGUGUGGGGAGAGGUGCGUGGAAUUCCCGGUGUAGUGGUGAAAUGCGCAGAUAUCAGGAGGAACACCGAUGGCGAAGGCAGGUCUCUGGGCCGAUACUGACGCUGAGGAGCGAAAGCGUGGGGAGCGAACAGG